rnacentral:rRNA from 1 species
UGCAAGUCGAGCGGACCUUUUAAAGCUUGCUUUUGAAAGGUCAGCGGCGGACGGGUGAGUAACACGUGGGCAACCUGCCUGUAAGACUGGGAUAACUUCGGGAAACCGGAGCUAAUACCGGAUAAUAUAAGGAACCUCCUGGUUCUUUAUUGAAAGAUGGUUUCGGCUAUCACUUACAGAUGGGCCCGCGGCGCAUUAGCUAGUUGGUGAGGUAACGGCUCACCAAGGCGACGAUGCGUAGCCGACCUGAGAGGGUGAUCGGCCACACUGGGACUGAGACACGGCCCAGACUCCUACGGGAGGCAGCAGUAGGGAAUCUUCCACAAUGGACGAAAGUCUGAUGGAGCAACGCCGCGUGAGCGAUGAAGGCCUUCGGGUCGUAAAGCUCUGUUGUUAGGGAAGAACAAGUGCGAGAGUAACUGCUCGCACCUUGACGGUACCUAACCAGAAAGCCACGGCUAACUACGUGCCAGCAGCCGCGGUAAUACGUAGGUGGCAAGCGUUGUCCGGAAUUAUUGGGCGUAAAGCGCGCGCAGGUGGUCCUUUAAGUCUGAUGUGAAAGCCCACGGCUCAACCGUGGAGGGUCAUUGGAAACUGGGGGACUUGAGUGCAGAAGAGGAAAGUGGAAUUCCAAGUGUAGCGGUGAAAUGCGUAGAGAUUUGGAGGAACACCAGUGGCGAAGGCGACUUUCUGGUCUGUAACUGACACUGAGGCGCGAAAGCGUGGGGAGCAAACAGGAUUAGAUACCCUGGUAGUCCACGCCGUAAACGAUGAGUGCUAAGUGUUAGAGGGUUUCCGCCCUUUAG